rnacentral:rRNA from 1 species
GAGUAACGCGUAUCCAACCUGCCCACCACUUGGGGAUAACCUUGCGAAAGUAAGACUAAUACCCAAUGACGUCUCUAGAAGGCAUCUGAAAGAGAUUAAAGAUUUAUCGGUGAUGGAUGGGGAUGCGUCUGAUUAGCUUGUUGGCGGGGUAACGGCCCACCAAGGCAACGAUCAGUAGGGGUUCUGAGAGGAAGGUCCCCCACAUUGGAACUGAGACACGGUCCAAACUCCUACGGGAGGCAGCAGUGAGGAAUAUUGGUCAAUGGACGAGAGUCUGAACCAGCCAAGUAGCGUGCAGGAAGACGGCCCUAUGGGUUGUAAACUGCUUUUAUAAGGGAAUAAAGUGAGUCUCGUGAGACUUUUUGCAUGUACCUUAUGAAUAAGGACCGGCUAAUUCCGUGCCAGCAGCCGCGGUAAUACGGAAGGUCCGGGCGUUAUCCGGAUUUAUUGGGUUUAAAGGGAGCGUAGGCCGGAGAUUAAGCGUGUUGUGAAAUGUAGACGCUCAACGUCUGCACUGCAGCGCGAACUGGUUUCCUUGAGUACGCACAAAGUGGGCGGAAUUCGUGGUGUAGCGGUGAAAUGCUUAGAUAUCACGAAGAACUCCGAUUGCGAAGGCAGCUCACUGGAGCGCAACUGACGCUGAAGCUCGAAAGUGCGGGUAUCGAACAGGAUUAGAUACCCUGGUAGUCCGCACGGUAAACGAUGGAUGCCCGCUGUUGGUCUGAAUAGGUCAGCGGCCAAG